rnacentral:rRNA from 1 species
ACACUCCUGCGGGAGGCAGCAGUGGGGAAUUUUGGACAAUGGGCGAAAGCCUGAUCCAGCAAUGCCGCGUGAGUGAAGAAGGCCUUCGGGUUGUAAAGCUCUUUUGUCAGGGAAGAAACGGUGAGAGCUAAUAUCUUUUGCUAAUGACGGUACCUGAAGAAUAAGCACCGGCUAACUACGUGCCAGCAGCCGCGGUAAUACGUAGGGUGCAAGCGUUAAUCGGAAUUACUGGGCGUAAAGCGUGCGCAGGCGGUUUUGUAAGUCUGAUGUGAAAUCCCCGGGCUCAACCUGGGAAUUGCAUUGGAGACUGCAAGGCUAGAAUCUGGCAGAGGGGGGUAGAAUUCCACGUGUAGCAGUGAAAUGCGUAGAUAUGUGGAGGAACACCGAUGGCGAAGGCAGCCCCCUGGGUCAAGAUUGACGCUCAUGCACGAAAGCGUGGGGAGCAAACAGGAUUAGAAACCCGAGUAGUCCC